GGCAGUCGGAGCUAGGAAUUGGCAGAGCCGUAACAGAGCCUAGGUCCUUGGACUAGUAGUGGUCAUUGGACUUCCCAGUUGGGUGCUCUCUGGUAGGUUGCAGACGCAGUUCGGAUCCCGCAUUGCUGUGGCUCUGGUGUAGGCCAGUGGCUAUAGCUCCGAUACGACCCCUAGCCUGGGAACCUCCAUAUGCGGAGGGAACGGCCCCAGAAAAGGCAAAAAGAUAAAUGAAUGAAUGAAUGAGGCUACACAAGGGAACCCAUGCCUUCAGAAAGGGGUCCCAUUCUCUGAGAUUCCAUCAACACCCUCUAAUGGGUGGGCUUUAAUUUCCCACAAAGCAGCUUUCUUUUCCAAAGGUGAGAGGCUCAUCUGGGAAAUUAUUGCAGCUGUUUUUUUUUUCCCCAGCUCUUUAAAACUAAGUGUUGCCAUUUGUAUUUUAACGAGGGUGGAGGGUGGAGAAUGGUUGCCAUUUUUCAGAGCCUUCUAGGCAUGUCUCAGAUCACAACAAAUAAAAGAGAGCUUCCAUAAAAGUCAAUGGCAAAAUCAGAAACAGCACAUCAACCCUACUCACAGUUGCUAAUUCAGCUUAUAUUUGUUGCUUGCCUGUUCUGUGAAAUAAUUUGCAUACAUUUUUUCCAGCCCUGGGGACAAUUCCGUCCAAGCCUUCGUUAGGAUCCCCACUGUACAAAGACCGAAACUGAAAUGACUUUGCUGCAAUCACGUCAUCAAAUAAGUGCCCAGGUCUGGAAUCAAGAACUCUGUUGGCCCCAGAUCUAGGUCUUUCCCUUUCCCUUUAGAUGAAAUUCUAACCUCCUCGAACCACUGGUAGUGGUACUUGGUGUUUCUCUAGACUCGUAUUUCCAUUGCUUGUUCUGUGGAUCCUUAGGUCUGUGGAGGUGCCUCAGGAGUGGAAAGUCAAGGGCGAGCCUGAAUCAAUGGCACCCAGUGCCCCCCACUUCCAUUUCAUAAGAACCGUCUUAAUGUUUUGUUUUUUUUUAAUUUGGGGGGGUGGGGUUCUGGGUAUUAUUUAAUUUGGAAAAAAAAAAUUCUGCCAUUUGUUUCUUUAGAGCAUUGCUCUAAGAAAAGUUUGAGCCAAAUCCAGCAAGGCAUGCCUCCUUGCCCUCACUAGUUUUCUAGAACUAGAACAAGUUGGGUCAUGUCUCUCAAGGAAACAGGCACUGAGAGAGAAGAUGAAAAAUGUGCAACUAUGAGCUUGGGUUGGAAUGGAGACCAUGCAGUCUGAUGCCAAGGCCAUGGAAUGCAGUAAGCUUUCCCGUGGAUGAACUGCUCUCAGGUGGGGAUUUUAGAAGAAUCCCCACUGGUCAAUUUAUGCUUGAUCAGUUUAGCUUAAAACCUGGCCCAGUUGGUUUUCUAGCUCCCUCUGCCACUGUCACUGUCAUAGGUGCCAUUGAGAGCAGUCAUGUGGGCAGCAGGGCGACAUCCAGUCUCAGGGCUGCCUGGUUCCCCUCUCACCCAGGCCCCUUGCUCACCGUCCCAGGCAGUGGAUCCCUGUUGAGCUCACCCACCUGCUGUAUCCAGCCCCACACUUCACUUUCCUUGCCCUCAGGAAGCUUACAGCCCAGCAGGAUAGAGACAAAUGUCCAGCCAAAGCAUGAUAGGGAAGCAGAGAGAGAGAUGACAGGGGGACGGCACUUGGAGGGGUAAGAAGAGUUUGUCGGGCGGAGAGAGAAUGAAGGGAGCUUUCUGUCAGAUUGCCCCAGACCUCAGAGGUGUGAACAACGGACUGGAAGUUAUUCUGUGUGGUUGGGGUUGAUGGGGGGGCGGGUAUGUUCUUUAUUGCACUGCUCUGUAGUCAGUUUCCUCUGCCUGCAUCCAUCUCUGGGUUACCACGCCAACCUGCUCCCACACAUGUCAUCCACCUAACUAACACGUGUCAGCUGAAACUCUCUUUCCUUCAGGAGACCGUAUUUGGGGACAUCCUAGCACACAUUUGCUCGAAUUGAUUGUCCCUCUAUCGUCUCUUGUACUAAAUGAGCUUGGUAAGCAAGGGCUGUGCCUGUGUGUUCAUCACUGGGACAGAAUGAAUGACAGAAGACAGAGCUGUGACGCUGGAUUAAGUCCGUAUGUGGCGAGCCUUGACUUUGGACUUUAGCCCGAAAACAGCAGGGUCCCUCUGAACUUACUAAAGUGAGGAAUUACAUGAUCUGACUUGAACAGAAAAAAGAUAAUUGGUGCCAGUGUGAUAACUUAACCAUAGGUUUUCAGUGAGGAUCAUAUGGAGUAAUAAAUGGAGUUGUUUUUGUUGUUGUUGUUUUUGUUUUUGUUUUUGUUUUUAAGAAAAGCUCUUCUAAACUGUAAAGUGCUUAUCUAAGUGGAGGACGUAGCUAUUACACCUUUUUUUUUUUUUUUUUUUGAUGCCUGUGAUUCAGAAUUAGUAUUUCAAUGAAUGAACCCUCUCCAUCAUCCUCCAGUUUGUAAUCUAAUUCAUUUGGUAAUUCAGUGGUUAAUUCCACAGAACAUUUUCUCUUCUUCCUGAGUGAAGACAGGUAAAGGGAUCCUAGUUAGAGGCCUGGCCCCUCUUUGCAUUUCAAAGCGUUUCCAUGUGGAACUGCCAAAUUCCAGUGUGCUAUUUCAAUGGGCAGCACAUCAACAAAAAUCUGUCCUCAUCAAAAAUUCAGGAAAAUAAAGUAAAAAGAUGUAAGGCCACAUUUUCAAAGGAUUCAGCCUGACCCUCUUGUGUUUUUUUUUUGUGUGUGUGUAUGCAAAAUGUAUUUUUUCGCACCUGCAAGCACAGUCUCUUUAAGCCAACUAGAACCUCCAAAUUGCCAAGGCUUAAAAAAAACGUCUGCCUUUCAAAUCCAGCCCAGAAACUGAGCAAUGAAACAAGGAUGGGGUGGAGGGCUGCCUAAAACUAUUUAUAGGAGUAUUGGGGGAGAUAAUUACUACCUUGCUCUGAAAUACCUCUGCUUGGCAGAAAUAUGAGUCCCGCACAUCAGCGAUCGAGGGAAUCCUUAAAGAUGGCGGAGAAUGGCAGCCAGAAUGCCUUCCUCUUCCUUGACCUAUUUUUUAAAUCAGUCUGUGUAAGACGCUUUGUAAAUUUCAACUGCAUUCAUUCAUGCCUUUAUCUUUCAUCCACACUGUGGACUUUCAGAGAGCUAUUGUUCCUAUUGAGGUUUCAGAUUCUGUACUAGGUUCUACAGAUUUAGUGGUGAACAUAAGGUCAGGUCCCUAUUCAGUUUUGUCUGUGUGUGUGUGUUUGUGUGUGUGUGUGUGUGUGUGUGUGUUUAGGGCUGCACCUGUGGCAAUUGGAAGUUCCCAGGCUAGGGGUCGAAUUGGAGCUAUAGCUGCUGGCCUACACCAUAGCCACAGCCAUGUGGGAUCUGAGCUGCAUCUGCCACCUACAUCACAGCACACGGUAACACCGGUUCCUUAACUCACUGAGCGAGGCCAGGGAACGAACCCAUAACCUCAUGGAUACUCGUUGGGUUGGUUUUCUGCUGAGCCACAUCGGGAACUCCCAGGUCCAUAUUCUUAAACACCUUCCAACUGAGUAUGAGAUGUCCAGCUACUGACCAUUGGAACAGUCAUUGCAGUUGUGAUGAGAGCUCUGGGAGAAAAUGCUACAUUCCCUUAGGAAGUUUCUGUGAAGGCAGGGAGUUUUGUCUGCUCUGGUCAUGCAGCUGUCCUGACAUGCAUUUUGCAUGAGUUUUGAAACAGAGGGGGGUACAAAGCAUAGCUGAGAGGGCCUGACAUCAUCAGUGAAGCCCAGGAAAGUGGACUCUCCCCAGGACGUGACCUUUAAGCUGAGACGGGAAUCAACUGGUUAAGAAUGGGCACAGGCAGGGAAUGGAGAGUGUUCUGGCAGAGAGUAGAGUUUGUGAGAAGGCCUCCCAGGAAGACAGCACUCCCUGCCCUUGACAGUGAACCUAGAGAUGUAGGCAGCAGCCAGGUCAAGUGUGAUGAUGAAGGUGACAACCCACUAUGCAGAAGUGCUAAAGGGUCCUGAGCUGGGAUCGUUCUUUUGGUAGAAUCAAAAAAAACCCUUCAGAUGGUGGCCUCUUGUGUCCUGGGUCUUAUAGGACUGGUUCCUGGGAAGGAUUUGGAAGUUGAUGGGGACUGUUUUUCAGCCAAGGCUGUAUGUCUACAGUCUUGGCUGAAAGAUGAAACUCCAGGGGAGCCUGGUGGGCACAGAGGGAAUGUGUUUUGAUUAACAAUGAAUGAAUGAAUGAAUGCUUAUUCAUGCCCACUAUGAGCAGCUACCUUGUGCCAAAAGCAAGAAAGGGUUUCAUUGACAAAGGGACAGAAGCUUGAUGGCAAGGGGGUCUCUUGGCACUUUUUCUGAUGGCUUUGCAGAAGAAGCAGUGGCUUCUGGUAUAAGAUCCAGGCCUUGGUGUGCUUAGUUGGGUGUCCUUGAGAGAAUCACCUAAACUCUCCGAAUUUGAUGUCUGUGAUGGAUCAAGCACAGUGGUGAUUUCCUAGUAGAUGCUGCCUCAGUUAUGUCCUCUGCAUUUGUUCAUUCAAGGAACAUCUAGUACACACCUAAUAUGGACCUGGCCCUGGGCUAAGUACUAAGGACGUGGGAAUGAGUUAAGACAUUAAUACAGAUUUCUUGCCUUGCCUAUCUACUUCAGGUAGCUUUGUUUUGAUUAUCAAGUGAGAAUAUGUAUGAAGACGUUUUGAAGAUGGCAAGUGAUGUAUAAACAUGAGUUGUUUUUUAUUCUAUAACCUUGCCUGUUUAUCAAGCAUCACCUUCAGGUAUUAACUUUCAAAAUUGCAACUGGAAUCACUUGUGGGCUUGGUCAAAUGUAAUUAUUAAAUUUUUAGCUAGCAUUUAUUUUAGUUCUCAUUAAGUUCCAGGCACAGUCUGAAGGGCUUUCCAUGCGUGAACUCACUGAGUCCUUAUCACACCCCUAUGCAGAAACCAGGGCCCAGAAGGAUGAAAGCACUUGCCCCAGGUCGAACCAUCAAAAGCCACAGACUCAGGCUUGAAGGCAGAGGCUCUCUGCCUCCAGUUCACCUGCUGGUAACUGGUACAUAAGGUAUAGCAGCAAGACUGGCUUUUUCUUUCACUGUCAGAUUAAUCAUUGCUCUUGGCCUCCCCUCCCUGUCACAGACUGAACUGCAUGUUGCAUGACAGCUGAGACCACGUUGAUGUAGUCCCUGUCCCUAAAACAGUGCCCAGCACAUGGUAUGUGUUCAGUAAAUACGUGAGGGAUGAAUCCUUUCUAGCAGCGUAAACACACUAUUUUUUUUUAAGUUUAUAUCAUUGUUAUUUUUAUUUGAUGCAAACAGAUUGAUCCCUGGCUUGGGAACUCCAAAUGCUGUGGGGUGGCCAAAAAAGAAAAAAAAAAAA
rnacentral:lncRNA from 1 species